rnacentral:ncRNA from 1 species
AGAGCACAUGCAGGAGUUAGGGUCCAUCUCAAAAUCCCUCAGUGCACUGAAGGUGAGGGCUGGCUGCAGUGGGAGCCCAGGGUGUGCAACCACAAGGAGCUGCAGGUGCACCACUGGCCUGUCUCGCCCAUGCCACCCGGCCUGGGAGGUGGGGUGGGAGUGUCCACGCUAGGACCUGAAAGAUGGUGAACUAUGUCCAGAGGGUGAAGCUAAAGAGAACUCUGGUGGAGGUCCGUAGUGGUCCUGACAUGCAAAUCAAGCAUCCUAUCCCAUUCUAUGGGUGAAAGACUAAUCGAACCAUCUAGUAGUUGG